rnacentral:misc_RNA from 1 species
UCAAACUUGGUCAUUUAGAGGAAGUAAAAGUCGUAACAAGGUUUCCGUAGGUGAACCUGCGGAAGGAUCAUUAAAGAAAAAUCGGCUCCGGCCAUUUUCCAACCCUUGCGUAUUUGUCCCUGUUGCUUCGGCGCUGCGGCGUCGGCGCCCCUAAACUCAGAAAAAAAAACAUUUGUGUCUGACAAAGAUUUUAAUUAUCAAAACUUUCAACAACGGAUCUCUUGGUUCCCGCAUCGAUGAAGAACGCAGC